rnacentral:miRNA from 1 species
UUGAAUCCACAGAUGUGAGACC